UCCUGGUCCAAGUGCAGUGGUAUUUACAACUAAUUGAUCACAACCAGUUACUGAUUUAUUUGUUCCUUCUCCAUUCCCACUGCUUCACUUGACUAGCCUAAA
rnacentral:Y_RNA from 1 species